UACGUAGGGUGCGAGCGUUAAUCGGAAUUACUGGGCGUAAAGCGUGCGCAGGCGGUUUCGUAAGACAGAUGUGAAAUCCCCGGGCUUAACCUGGGAACUGCGUUUGUGACUGCGAGACUCGAGUGUGGCAGAGGGGGGUGGAAGUCCACGUGUAGCAGUGAAAUGCGUAGAGAUGUGGAGGAACACCGAUGGCGAAGGCAGCCCCCUGGGUUAACACUGACGCUCAUGCACGAAAGCGUGGGUAGCAAACAGG
rnacentral:rRNA from 1 species